UGCCCCUGUCCUCUCUGAGCUCCAACAUGGUGUGUCUGCGGCUCCGCGGAGGCUCCUGGAUGGCCGCUCUGAAGGUGAUGCUGAUGGCACUGAGCCCUCCCCUGGCUCAGGCCAGAGACACUCCACCGCAUUUCCUGUAUCAGCCUAAGUCUGAGUGUCAUUUCUCCAACGGACAGAGCAGGUGCGGUUCCUGGAGAGACACAUCUACAACGGGCAGGAGGACCUGCUCUUUGACAGCGACGUGGGGGAGUUCCGCGCGGUGACCGAGCUGGGGAGGCCCAUCGCUGAGUUCGUCAACAGCUUGGAGGACCUCCUGGAGCGGGAGUGGGCCCAGGUGGACAGGUUCUGCAGAGACAACUACAGGUUGUCUCAGGAAUUCCUGGUGCAGAGGCAAACUGAGCCCACAGUGACCGUGUAUCCUGCAAAGACCCAGGGCCUGCAGCACCACAGCCUCCUGGUCUGCUCCGUGAACAGCUUCUAUCCGGGCCACAUUGAGGUCCGCUGGCUGCGCAACGGCCAGGAAGAGGAGGCCGGGGUGGUGUCCACGGGCCUGAUCCGGAACGGGGACUGGACCUUCCAGACCCUGGUGAUGCUGGAAACAGUUCCCCGGAGUGGGGAGGUCUACACCUGCCAAGUGCGGCACCCCAGCAGCACCAGCCCUGUCACCGUGGAAUGGAGGGCCCAGUCUGGAUCCGCACAGAGCAAGGUGCUGAGUGGAGCCGGGGGCUUCGUGCUGGGGCUGCUCUUCCUCGGGGCGGGGCUGCUCAUCUACUUCAGGGCUCAGAAAGAACAGAAGGUGCAGGGUACGAGCCAGGGGACAGAUAGCGGGGAGCCUGGGUGUGGCUCUGGCCGCUUACACUGCAGGGUCUCCUCCGGCCUGGAAUCUCAGAGCUAA